rnacentral:rRNA from 1 species
UACGUAGGGGGCAAGCGUUGUCCGGAUUUAUUGGGCGUAAAGAGCGUGUAGGCGGCCAGAUAGGUCAGCUGUGAAAACUCGAGGCUCAACCUCGAGACGUCGGUUGAAACCAUCUGGCUAGAGUCCGGAAGAGGAGAGUGGAAUUCCCGGUGUAGCGGUGAAAUGCGCAGAUAUCGGGAGAACACCCGUGGCGAAGGCGGCUCUCUGGGACGGUACUGACGCUGAGACGCGAAAGCGUGGGGAGCGAACAGG